rfam:Schistosoma mansoni strain Puerto Rico chromosome 3, complete genome
AUCCAGCUGACGAGUCUCAAAUAGGACGAAACGCUCGUCCUGGAU